UGAGCACUGACUGAGGGCUUUUAUACAGUGGCGGGAGACUGUUGCUGCCGCGCGUGGAGGGGUGGGGUGGGCGUUGAUUGCUCGCGCGCGUUCAUGUGGUUGACUUGAUUUGUCUCCACAGAUCGCUGUUUACCUCCACGCAACGUGCGACCAACACCGCGUCCGAAGUUCCGACGUUUUCACAGACGUGAUGGACCACAGUGACCAAUCUACACAC